AUUUUGAUUGGUUGGAACCAUUUUGUCCCGCCCCCUUUCUUGGGAGUCGAGGCUGAACGUUGGCUGAAGUGGAAGUCAUUCAUAAUCUACGGAAGACAGUCGUCAUAGCGAACCCUUGACGUCGCGGACCCAGUGGCCAGCUGUUACUAAUCGCGUCACUGCCUCUGCCAGCUGAUCGCAGACGCCGGUAACCGUGAGGCGAGAACGGAGGAAUCACUUUACCGGCCUUACCUUGUCCUCUGGCCUCCACCCCCAAUGCCUGCUGAUUCAUGUCUGCGUGUCUGCGCCGGCUUGCUGGAUGGGGGAGGGUGGAAUGAACGAGGGACACGGAGUACUGAGAAAGAAUGGUAGAUGAUUACCAAACGCAGCACGGGAAGGGAAACAAGACGGAAAGUCUGUAGUGGAUGCUGAUGAGUGAAUAUUGGCUGACCUACUGCAGUUCUUCUCUGGCAAACUUUAUGACCCUGUCCUGACGCUAAAGCUGCCAGCUGAAGAACUGUUGUGGUCAGCUCUACCCAGCAUGCACCAUUUUCAUCCGAGAGUGCUGUGGAUCUUAUUCAUUCUCUGUCGUAGAGCUUUGAUAUUUAAAAAUUCACUUUUUUUUUUUUUUUAUUGAAGCAGAAAAUAUCUUAAAUAGAGAAAUAUUUCUUAAAAAAAUGUAAAGAAAUAUUACCUUUUUGUCGUGAAUUUGAUAAAAAUGUACCAUAUCAAUUUUUAACCAUAUUACCAUAAAAUAUGAAUUUAAAUCCAUGGUCUUUUUUUGUAUUGUAAUAUCAAAAUGAAUAUCAAACUAACUAAUAAAUUAGUGUUUUAUAAUGUAUAUUUGAUGUAUGUAGUAUAUUAUGCAUGGUAGAAGUCAUUGAAAAUUAUUUUCUGUACAUUUAGC
rnacentral:lncRNA from 1 species